GGAAUGCGGCUGCCUCGUGCUACUGACAAUCUAGAAGGACUGGCUUCUCUACUGCAUCCCUGACUUCUUGGGAUUUUGCUUCGUUUUUGUGCAGCUGCAGGGUUCACUAACACUCUCUGAACCCCUGUGUUCAUAGUGGAAAGCGUAGUUGUUGUCAAAACUCUUCCAGGAGAUCCAGAUCUACUGCCAGGCUGAGACUGAGAGACCACUUUGGUUCUACUCCGUCCUCUGGAAUCUGUUUUAGAAUUUCCAAUGCCAAGAGAAGGUGUUGAAAGCUUUGUUCGUAUACGACCUAGUGAAGCAUAAGAUCCUGGAGGCAGACCAGCUGCUGACAAGCGCCCACCUCCAGCUGUCUGUCCAGAAGCAUGGCGGGCCUUUGCCCCUGCAGCAGCAUUAACAUCAAUGUCACUGCGAGACCUUUGCAGAGUUCCUGGGCUUGGAACACUCUUGCUGCUGCCCGAAACUCUGCCUGCAAAGCUGGCUGGG
rnacentral:lncRNA from 1 species